rnacentral:lncRNA from 1 species
GUUUAAUUGUCUCAAGGUUCUGCAGGCUAUGCAGGAAGCAUGGCAGCUUCUCCUUCUGGGGAGGCCUCAGGAAGCCUUCAAUCAUGGCAGAAGGGGAAGGGGAGUGAGAUCUCUCACCCGGCGGGAGCAGGAGCAAUAGAAAGCAAGCGGGGAGGCGCUGCACACUUUUAAACAACCAGAUCUCACAAGAACUCACUGUCGCAAGAACAGCACCAAGACAAUGGUGUUAACCAUUCAUGAGAAACCUUCCCCAUAAUCCAGUCACCUCCCACCAGGCCCCACCUCCACCACUAGGGAUUACAGUUCGACAUAAGAUUUAGGUGGGGACACAGAUCCAAACCAUAUCACCUUCUCUCUACUAAAAAUAAUAAUAAUAAAAGCCAGAUAUGGAGGCUGAAGCAGGAGGAUCACUUAAGCCCAGGAGUUCAAGGCUGCAUUGAGCUAUGAUGGCACCACAGCCUAAACAACAGAGUGAGGCCCUGUCUCAAAACAAAAACAAACAAACAAAAAACUGAUUUGGAUU